CGGGGAGUAGCGCAGCCCGGUAGCGCGCCACGUUCGGGACGUGGAGGUCGCGGGUUCAAGUCCCGCCUCCCCGACCA
rnacentral:tRNA from 1 species